UAGAAGCCUCGAAACAAAAGCAUUCCUAACUUUUUAUAAAUGAUUCUUGACUUGUCAUACAAACAGUACGAAUAACUUCUCCUAACUUAUAAUCCAGAAGCUAGACUUAUAAAUCCUAAACAAACAACCACUUUGUCCCCGGAUAGAUUUUGGGCGUGCUACUAUCUGACUGGAUAUGAGUGAUGAUUGAUGCAGUUACAUCUGCUAAUGAGUAUUCGAUCCCUCGAAUCCAUAUAUUAAGCCUGACGAAAGACUCAGAAGUCAGAAGUAGUUCUACUGGCAAAUAAUCGUAUCAGGAGUUGGUUAUAAUCCCAGUCUUACAAUGGAUGAGUUCAGUGGCGCUCUCUGCUGUGAUCCUUUACAAUGGAAACACGAAGCUUGUCUGGACGUUGCCAUGAACCAGGUCACGCAUCUCUGGACAAACUAUGCUGCCAUUAAUGAGGAUUUUGUGCAAUUUUGGCCUCUUGAUGAGUAUCUUUAAAGCCGUCGUCAUCUACUUUGAGGUUGGAAAACACGAGUAAGAGUUACUGCUGUCUAUUUUGAGUUACUCGUAGUCUUUAGCACUUAUACAUCUCAUUAUGGCGGUAUCUUAAAGCAUAAGCAUAUAGUGUACUGAUAGAUAGAUUACUGAUAUGACAAAGAUAUGCGUGUGAAGCGGAAACCCUGCAAUUUACUAUCUGAAGUACAAUAAGAAUUAAAAAAAACAAUUCCAGUUUUAUAAA